rnacentral:rRNA from 1 species
UACGAAGGGGGCUGGCGUUGCUCGGAAUCACUGGGCGUAAAGCGCACGUAGGCGGAUUGCUAAGUCAGGGGUGAAAUCCUGGAGCUCAACUCCAGAACUGCCUUUGAUACUGGCAACCUUGAGUCCGGGAGAGGUGAGUGGAACUGCGAGUGUAGAGGUGAAAUUCGUAGAUAUUCGCAAGAACACCAGUGGCGAAGGCGGCUCACUGGCCCGGUACUGACGCUGAGGUGCGAAAGCGUGGGGAGCAAACAGG